rnacentral:SRP_RNA from 1 species
GCCGGGUGUGGUGCUGCACGCCUGUAGUCCCAGCUACUCAGGAGGCUGAGGCAGAAGAAUCACUUGAACCCAGGAGGCGGAGGUUGCAGUGAGCCGAGAUUGUCCCAUUGCACUCUAGCCUGGGUGACAGAGUGAGACUCCGUCUCAA